rnacentral:tRNA from 1 species
GCGGGCGUAGUUCAAUGGUAGAACCUCAGCCUUCCAAGCUGGUUACGACAGUUCGAAUCUGUUCGCCCGCUCCA